rnacentral:rRNA from 1 species
GACGAACGCUGGCGGCGUGCUUAACACAUGCAAGUCGAACGGAAAGGCCCUGCUCUUGUGGGGUGCUCGAGUGGCGAACGGGUGAGUAACACGUGAGUAACCUGCCCUUGACUUUGGGAUAACUUCAGGAAACUGGGGCUAAUACCGGAUAGGAGCUCCUGCUGCAUGGUGGGGGUUGGAAAGUUUCGGCGGUUGGGGAUGGACUCGCGGCUUAUCAGCUUGUUGGUGGGGUAGUGGCUUACCAAGGCUUUGACGGGUAGGCGGCCUGAGAGGGUGAACGGCCACAUUGGGACUGAGAGACGGCCCAGACUCCUACGGGAGGCAGCAGUGGGGAAUAUUGCACAAUGGGCGGAAGCCUGAUGCAGCAACGCCGCGUGCGGGAUGACGGCCUUCGGGUUGUGAACCGCUUUCGCCUGUGACGAAGCGUGAGUGACGGUAAUGGGUAAAGAAGCACCGGCUAACUACGUG